rnacentral:rRNA from 1 species
GUAGGGAAUAUUGGGCGAUGGAUGCAAGUCUGACCCAGCCAUCCCGCGUGCCGGAAGAAGGCCCUCAGGGUUGUAAACGGCUUUUGACGGUGAAGAAUCGACAGGAUGCGUCCUGUUUUGACGGUAGCCGUUGAAUAAGCACCGGCUAACUCCGUGCCAGCAGCCGCGGUAAUACGGAGGGUGCGAGCGUUGUCCGGAUUUAUUGGGUUUAAAGGGUGCGUAGGCUGGAAGGUCAGUCAGCGGUGAAAAGCUGUCGCUUAACGAUAGUCUUGCCGCAGAUACUUCCUUUCUUGGAUGAGGAGGAGGCCACUGGAACGGAUGGUGUAGCGGUGAAAUGCAUAGAUAUCAUCCAGAACACCGAUUGCGAAGGCAGGUGGCUGUACCUUAAUCGACGCUGAUGCACGAAAGCAUGGGGAGCAAACAGGAUUAGAUACCCUUGUAGUCC